rnacentral:rRNA from 1 species
UACGUAGGGUGCAAGCGUUGUCCGGAAUUAUUGGGCGUAAAGAGCUCGUAGGCGGUUUGUCGCGUCUGCUGUGAAAACUCGGGGCUUAACCCCGAGCCUGCUUCUGAUACGGGCAGACUAGAGGUAUGCAGGGGAGAACGGAAUUCCUGGUGUAGCGGUGAAAUGCGCAGAUAUCAGGAGGAACACCGGUGGCGAAGGCGGUUCUCUGGGCAUUACCUGACGCUGAGGAGCGAAAGUGUGGGGAGCGAACAGG